rnacentral:rRNA from 1 species
GAUGAACGCUGGCGGCGUGCCUAAUACAUGCAAGUCGAGCGAACAGACGAGGAGUUUGGUCUUCUGAAGUUGGCAGCGGAUGGGUGAGUAACACGUGGUUAACCUACCUAUAAGACUGGGGUAACUUCGGGAAAUCGGAGCUAAUACCAGAAAAUAUAUUGAACGGGAUGGUUCAAUAGUGAAAGACGGUUUUGCUGACACUUAUAGAUGGAUCCGCGCGGCAUUAGUUAGUUGGUAAGGUAACGGCUUACCAAGGCAACGAUGGGUAGCCGACCUGAGAGGGUGAUCCGCCACCCUGGAAGUGAGACACGAUCCAGACACUGACAGGAGGCAGCGGCACGGAAUCUUCCGCGAUGUGCGAAAGCCUGACGGAGCAACGCCGCGUGAGUGAUGAAACUCUUCGGAUCGUAUAACUCUGUUAGUAUGGAAGAACAAAUGUGUAAGUAACUAUGCUCGUCUUGACGGUACCUAAACAGAAAGCCACGGCUAACUACGUG